GCAGCACGGGGGCAACCCUGGUGGCGAGUGGCGAACGGGUGAGUAAUACAUCGGAACGUGCCCAGUCGUGGGGGAUAACGUAGCGAAAGCUAGCUAAUACCGCACACGAUCUAAGGAUGAAAGUGGGGGAUCGCAAGACCUCAUGCUCAUGGAGCGGCCGAUAUCUGAUUAGCUAGUUGGUGGGGUAAAAGCUCACCAAGGCUUCGAUCAGUAGCUGGUCUGAGAGGACGACCAGCCACACUGGAACUGAGACACGGUCCAGACUCCUACGGGAGGCAGCAGUGGGGAAUUUUGGACAAUGGGCGCAAGCCUGAUCCAGCAAUGCCGCGUGAGUGAAGAAGGCCUUCGGGUUGUAAAGCUCUUUUGUCAGGGAAGAAACGGUGAGGGCUAAUAUCCCUUGCUAAUGACGGUACCUGAAGAAUAAGCACCGGCUGACUACGUGCCAGCAGCCGCGGUAAUACGUAGGGUGCAAGCGUUAAUCGGAAUUACUGGGCGUAAGCGUGCGCAGGCGGUUGUGCAAGACAGAUGUGAAAUCCCCGGGCUCAACCUGGAAUUGCAUUUGUGACUGCACGGCUAGAGUGUGUCAAGGGGGUAGAAUUCCACGUGUACA
rnacentral:rRNA from 1 species